GGCGCCGAUCGUCAUGACGCCUUGGCGUAUUGUGCUAGGGAGUUGUAGGGCAAACUCCAGGUUCAAGCUAGCGGAGCUUUGGUGGCCACGAGGAACCCAACGGCGUUCUGACAGAAUUCACAAAAGUAUGACUCACCCUCGGGGGUUUCCAUUUAGUAAUUGUAUUUUUAGAGCUUCCGAACUGUGUAAAUGGUUACGUCACUCUCACGUGACGGCCAGCACGCCCUCCUUCGGGACGGGGUGUGUCAUUAGGUCCGAUAGAUACAGUACGGUCAAUUUGUUAUGAUUUGUAUUGUUUAUGUUUUAGUUCACUAGGUCUGAUAAAUUAAGUACAUUAUAUAGUUUAGGUCCGAUCAAUUAGGUACGGUCAAUUAGGUUGUGAUUCAAAAUUCCAUUUUCACUACAUACAAAAUUGUUCUUUUCACUUUCUUAGGAUUCAUUUUUAAUUUAUUGAAUCCAAAAUUAUAAAAACAAAAAAGAAUGCAUUGAAUAAUAUAGGUACACUAUUGUUCUACAUACAAAAUUGUUCAUUUAGGUACUAUCAAUUAGGUUCUAUCAAUUCGGUACGGUCGGUUAGGUACUAUAUAGUGUAGGUCUGAUCAAUUCGGUACGGUCAAUUAGGUUGUGAUUUCACAUUCUAUUUUCUCUAUUUGUAUUUUUUUUUCUUGCAUUUAUCUCUGGAUUCACCAUCAAUUUGGCAUCUAAAAGCCCUUUUUUCUUCUUUCUUCUGAAUACAACGAGAUUUUUGGUUUCUAAGUUUUCUGGCUUUUUUUGUUUGAUCAUGGUUUCUGAGUUUUCUGGGUUCUUUGAUUGGAAUAACACAUGGAGAUUUAUGGUAAUGUUAUGGUUAUAACAAACAUGUUAAUUAUGGAUCUAGUUAAUUAAGCAUUCUUGCAAAAUUAAUUAUAUAUUUGUUUCUCUAAUUGGUUUUAAGAGAGUAAUAAGGGUAAAUAGGGAAACUAAAAAUGCAAUAAAAUUAUUAAAAAAAUGAUUAAAUGUGACAUGGAAUACUAUAAUCUGACUUGGAGGAUUAUUUUUUAUUUUUAAUCUUACAUAAAGUAUUAUUGAAAAAUAAUCUUGUUUAGAGAUUAAAAUGAAGUUUUCUAUAGAAUGAAUUUCCUCAUUAUAAGGCGCCAAGUAUUAUUAUUAUUUUAUUGGGCUAAUGUCCAACGGCAGCAAAUGUACCAUUGAAAAAUAAUCUUGUUUAGAGAUUAAAAUGAAGUUUUCUAUAGAAUGAAUUUCCUCAUUAUAAGGCGCCAAGUAUUAUUAUUAUUUUAUUGGGCUAAUGUCCAACGGCAGCAAAUGUACCAUCAUCAUCAGCAUCAUCAUCAUCAGGACCAGCAAAUGAUCAUCAUCAUCAGCAUUGCUGCCAACAGUACAAGACCCGAGCAAAUGUCUCUAUUACAUGCUGCCAACACAUCAUCAUCAGGAUGCUGCCAAGUUGCCAACGCAGCAAAUGCUGCCAACACAUGCAUACAUUAUAUUGUAUUUAGAACAAAUUUCCUCUUUAUAUUUCUCGUCUUGUUUUCUUCCUCGUGACAUAUUUCACACGAUGGUGUACUGUAGUGGAGGAGAUUAAAAGCUGGCGCAUGCAUGCACAUAUGCAAUGGAAGGAAUCUAUA